AAAUUGAAGAGUUUGAUCAUGGCUCAGAUUGAACGCUGGCGGCAGGCCUAACACAUGCAAGUCGAACGGUAACAGGAAGCAGCUUGCUGCUUCGCUGACGAGUGGCGGACGGGUGAGUAAUGUCUGGGAAACUGCCUGAUGGAGGGGGAUAACUACUGGAAACGGUGGCUAAUACCGCAUAACGUCGCAAGACCAAAGAGGGGGACCUUCGGGCCUCUUGCCAUCAGAUGUGCCCAGAUGGGAUUAGCUUGUUGGUGAGGUAACGGCUCACCAAGGCGACGAUCCCUAGCUGGUCUGAGAGGAUGACCAGCCACACUGGAACUGAGACACGGUCCAGACUCCUACGGGAGGCAGCAGUGGGGAAUAUUGCACAAUGGGCGCAAGCCUGAUGCAGCCAUGCCGCGUGUAUGAAGAAGGCCUUCGGGUUGUAAAGUACUUUCAGCGGGGAGGAAGGUGUUGUGGUUAAUAACCACAGCAAUUGACGUUACCCGCAGAAGAAGCACCGGCUAACUCCGUGCCAGCAGCCGCGGUAAUACGGAGGGUGCAAGCGUUAAUCGGAAUUACUGGGCGUAAAGCGCACGCAGGCGGUCUGUCAAGUCGGAUGUGAAAUCCCCGGGCUCAACCUGGGAACUGCAUUCGAAACUGGCAGGCUUGAGUCUUGUAGAGGGGGGUAGAAUUCCAGGUGUAGCGGUGAAAUGCGUAGAGAUCUGGAGGAAUACCGGUGGCGAAGGCGGCCCCCUGGACAAAGACUGACGCUCAGGUGCGAAAGCGUGGGGAGCAAACAGGAUUAGAUACCCUGGUAGUCCACGCCGUAAACGAUGUCUACUUGGAGGUUGUGCCCUUGAGGCGUGGCUUCCGGAGCUAACGCGUUAAGUAGACCGCCUGGGGAGUACGGCCGCAAGGUUAAAACUCAAAUGAAUUGACGGGGGCCCGCACAAGCGGUGGAGCAUGUGGUUUAAUUCGAUGCAACGCGAAGAACCUUACCUGGUCUUGACAUCCACAGAACUUUCCAGAGAUGGAUUGGUGCCUUCGGGAACUGUGAGACA
rnacentral:rRNA from 1 species